AUUUAAUUUAGAUAUUAUGAACAAUGAAAUUAGACCCAUUCUCACGAUUAUAUACGUAAUAAUUUUAAGUGUCACUGAAUUUGUGUUAACAUAAUUCACUCAUUUAUAGGGCAUAGAGAAUAGAGAUACCGACGCCAUCUUAAAUACAAAGAUGUGAUGGAAGUUGGACGCAAAAUCAGGACUGAUAAAGAGACAAUCUUUACGAGUAAAGCUUUAUAAAGUACCUACUCAAAGUCGCUUUAUAGAUCUCGGCCUCAACGAAAACGCGUAAAUAUCGCAAGAAACUGAUUUUCAAAACCGAUUUUUUGUACUACAUGCACUUUCUAGAAGUAUGCGCGAAUUGCGAUAGCCCUACUUGUAAGAUGCGACGCGGCACCUUUAUAUGUAUUUCUCCGCGAAUCUCAACGCAACUAUCUGAACUGUAUGAUUGCUAAACUACGAUUUUAACAAAGGAAAUUAUCUACACAGUUAGUUCAUUUUAUUUCGUAAAAUUUAAUUUGUGCUAUUCAUAAAGGCACCUUUUUGCCUUCCCCCAUUUAACACUUGUAUGAACCUGACUUAAUGCUUUAAUAUCGAUCUUAUAUAAACCUAUUACGCUAAUAAUUAUCUACAUAAUUAUCACAUUUGACCGUCUCUACAAUACAAUAUAGCGUCUCUAAUAUAUUAAUUAAUAUUCGAUUUGAGCUUUCGACAUUAUUAUUUUAUUAGCAUCAGAACACAUAAUAAUAUUAUAAUUCAUACUUGUGAUAAAAAAUUUAUAACGUAUGUUGUACGUUGUCUUAUCCAUGAAUCUAUAAUAGGUAUAUACCUGGAUUGCAUAUUCUUAAUAUCUUAUUAAAGCAAAACCUACUUAUUGCUAUAGACUCGACUAGACUCCGAUCUCUCGCUCUAAUUUGUUAGGCGAAGUAGGAUAGCGAUAAGUAGGUAUUUGCUUCAAAUAUAUAUUGGAAGUGAACUAUUUCAUGGUCUUAUCCUUAAUCGUCCACUUUUUCGUCUUAUGAGCUCUGGAUUUUUAUACAAAAUAAAUAUAUUAUAGUUUACAUUUAUGUUAUCCAUCUAAAACUUCGAUUCCAAAUGCUAUUUACUUAGUUUAAUUUUUAAUAUCAUGGUAAUUUGUAACUUUCUCGUUAUUAGCUACAUAAAGGUAGAUCCACACCUGCGCACGCGCACGAACCGUGCACCGAACGUAAUGCGGUCCGGCCAUAAGGCUUCGCCACACAGUUGACGGGACGGGACGGUGCCGCGAUGUAAUUGUCAUGUACUGAGAAUUGAAAUAUAGAACAGACGUCGAGAAACACCCAAGUUUAAAUAACCCACCGAAAUAAAUAAAUAAGUAGGUACAGUCUAAUAACCAAACCAGGUCAGCGUAAAAUUAAAAAUCGAGAACAAACAAACAAACUAACAAAAAUUAAACAAAGGAUUACCAAAAAGAGUGUGCAAAAAGACAAGACGUUCGCACCGCACGAUAGACAUUUAACUGACAUUUUGGUCACGUGCUCUAUGUUCGACUGUUCGUUAUCUGCGACCGAUGACGUACGGUUUCUUACUUCGCAUCUUUCUCAUACCAAUGUAAUAAGAAAAGGACAGACAAACCUAACUUAGUUUAUACCUGUCAAACUUCUCGUGAGUCUAUUGUAUAGAGGGACUUCAGCGCACAAAAAUUUUUCGUCAUUAAAUGUAAUAGUCGUGUUCCGUCCUUUUGCAGCACUAUUAAAAAGAGAAAGAUACAGAUACUCUAAAUUUAGUUUAAAG